AUGAAGCAUCUUCGUUACAAAUGGGACAAGCCAAAUAACCUUUUGUUGGCCAUCCAGACAUGUUACCAUAUACAGGAAAGUCAUUAAUGGUCCACAUGAGAGCAGCACGCAUUCUAAAUGUACUUCCACUAGAGGCAUCAUAAGUUUGCACGCCAUCCUUCCAAAGCUCUUUCAACUCAUCAAUUAAUGGCCUCAAGUAAACAUCUAUUUCUUUACCG
rnacentral:lncRNA from 1 species